UAAGGAGUGUAGGCUUCAUCUAAAAGCCUGCAUGUCAAAUAUUCCUUUCUAAUACAUCCUGGUGUGCUCUGCCUUGAAGUGUUUCUUUCCUGUCUGCCCGUCCAGCCCCUUAUUUAUGCCCCAUUCUGUCCCUCUCUCUCGUUGCCUUUGUUCCGCGGUCUCCUGGGUGAUGGAGUUAGUGUUUGUGUGUAGGGAUGCGUGGACAAGAGGGAGCUGAUUUCUAGAGGUUGAAGAUGACAGUAGAUCCUAAGGAACCUCAGUUCUAUCCCGAAAUGUGAAAGCCUUUUUACUCAACCACAAAGAAGUGGUCAGCAGAAAACUGGGCAUCCUGGCCUCUGGGGCCAUGAGCAGCACUCAAGAGGAGCUACUGUUUUCCCUGCCUGUUAACAUGUGGCUUGGGGCCUUGUGGGAUAUUUGAAAAUUAGGACACAAGAAGUCCAAGCAGCACCUGGUGAUUAAACUGGGUUCUCUAUCAGAGAGAGGUGUGACCUUCAAGGGCAUCCAUACAGGAUCCAGGGGCAAAGCAGAAGGUGAACUGGAGCUCCCGGGAGUCCUUUCCUUUGUGGGGGUUAUCAAUAUCAGAAUGGAGUGACUUCCGUCAAACCCUAACAAAAUGGAGGCGGAGACCAUGAAGAGCGAGCCUACCCGCAUGCCUGUAACAGGACUUCUCACCAGGAAUCCCUGCACAUAUGCCUAUGAUAGGGACUAUGCCAGGAACUCCUCACGUACGCAAGAUUCGAGAUAGACUGGGAGCUCCAUGAGGUCCGAGAAAACCUGAAGUCUCCCAGCUCAGAAGAGACUUGCUAUGGCAAUCACUCAGUAACUAUUUGUUGAAUUGGACAUAGUAGAAGAGCUGAAGAAUUUUAAACAAGUCACCAUCAGUCCAGUGGAUUCCUCAAAGCAAACCUGGAAAUCUCGGCAUGAGUUGGAUUUAAGGCAGUACAUUUUCAGUUCCUCAAAAUUUGAACAGUUUCUCAAGAGAACAACUUGAAACAGAAAGGAAGGAUGUAGAUGUGGUUGUAGAAGAUGAUGUCUAAGGCCACCAAACUGUCCACUGUGAAGAUAAACCAUGCAUGUUUAGUAGGGCGGUGGCUCCCCUUCCCUGUGGGGAGUCCCACUGCUUCCCUGGCCUGGGAGUUCUCUGCCAGUAGAUGUUAUUGACAAAAUAAGCAAAGUCCCCUGAUUCAGAUAAUUAGAGUUUAUGAUAGCUCUAGAUUGCCACUGCCAUGCUAUUUAAAGUCCUGCUUUAUUGUCUGACAUGAGUUUGGCACCUGUGAGGACUUGUCCAAUGCAAGGUACAAUCUCCACUGAAAGAUACCACCAGCACAUCUUGUCACUGUGCUGUAGCAAGCCGGGCAGUACAAUGAUGUUGGCAGGACCCUGUUUAGGUGGAGGAUGGCUACCUGGGCAUCAAUAACAUUCUACCUUGAUUCCACAUUGAUUCCCAAACAGCUGUUCACCCACAUCUUCUAAUUAAAGCAGCAGAUGGGAGUCCCAGCUAGAGAAAAGUUCUGGGAGCAGGAGAGGUGUUGGUGGCUUUAAAACCAAGGGUAAAGACUGAAUUAGGAGGUGAGGCAGGAGUAGGAUCAAAGGCUUAGAAAGUGCUUGUUUCCUUCUAUUGUUCUUAUGAGAGCUGAUAAGGGGCUUUCAGUUUUGUGGGGAGCCUUGGAAGAGAAUGAGGGAAUUUAAUCAACUAGCGGGACCUUUCCAACCUACAUUUCCCAGUGUUUGUUGGGUGAUACGUUUGCCUAAUAAGUUAAAGCUUCCAAAAAUAGAAAGGAAAGCUUGGCGACACUAAGCUCCGGCAUGCUGUCAUCUUCUGGCUAGGGGUCUUGUGCUUCUGUUUUUCUAUUUCUGACCAAGGACAUAAAAUGUGUUGUGACCUCUCA